rnacentral:rRNA from 1 species
GUCCACGCCCUAAACGAUGUUAACUCGAUAUUUAUUCUUCGGAGUGAGUGUCCAAGCGAAAGCGUUAAGUUAACCACCUGGGGAGUACGUUCGCAAGAAUGAAACUCAAAGGAAUUGACGGUGUCCGCACAAGCGGUGGAGCAUGUUGUUUAAUUCGAUGAUACGCGAGGAACCUUACCUAGGCUAGAAUGCGAGUGCCGAUUCCUGAAAGGGAUUUUCCUUCGGGACACAAAGCAAGGUGCUGCAUGGCUGUCGU